GGGAUAACAGGGUUCACACUUUUGCUAAAAAUAAAACAAAAAUUUGGAUUACACCCUGGAAUAAUCCAGAAAACAUGAAAGAAAGAUCAAGGCCUACUACUAGACUCCCUCCAGCUGACCCAAACAUGGAGAGUCUUUCCAAUUAACAAGCACAACAUUUUUAGCCAUUGAGUUUCGCAUCCAUAUUAUCAAGACGACUAUCUGCUUCAAGAUCUUCAGCUUUAGUCAGUACAUUCUCAUACCCCAUGUUAUCGGGCAUCAUCCCCACAACGUGUGCAUAUCAUAUUUAUCUAAAGGAUUCAGCGUGAUAUUCUAGGUGUCACUGUCUUGAAUCAAAUUUUCCUGGACCUUGUGCUUCCAGCUUAUCACAAACCGACCACUCCAACUUUCUCAAAAUUCAAAACAAAACAUGUUAGAAUGAACUUAGUCGAUCCUCAUUAUUCACAACAUCUUUUCCAUUUUUUUAUUUUUAUUUUUCAUUUUUUGUAUUUUGGUUGUGGUCGAAUCCUAUGUGGAUUGCCUACGUAUCGUGACCCCGCACGAAUCAGACCAGGUGUAGUUCGUGCCAAUAAAAGAUAAACAAUAAUAAAACUUUUUUUUAAAAUUUUCAAUUUUCAUAAUAAAACGAACAUGAUUACAACGGUUUAAAAACUUACCAUACUAACAGACUUUGACGAAAAGACGACCUACAUACUUGAAAAUAAAAACAUACCACACCCUAAGCAAAAUAAUUACAAACUCAAAAACAUACGGCAUGUUUCCUUUCCUUGUUUGCCAAUUUCAACCAAAUGGUUAUCUUUGCAAACCUGGCCCCUUCCCAAUUUCACAUGAAUUUUGAGGCCGGGAAGGAUUUUUUACAACCUUGUCCGUUCUUUUACGAAAAUAGUCUUUCGCCAACUGAAAGAUACUCUAAGGCUAUCUUGGCAAGAACGGUUUAAGACACUGUCAAAGUUGGCUUGGCUUAUUUUGACCAAAAAUUUUGACGACAUUCACUUGCCUACUGAUUUUUUUUUCAAAUUAAAAUAAAAGGCCAAAUUUUGCAAAGACGACCUUUCAGCACUUCGAGGACGAAGAUUUUUAAGGCUGUGUGAGUCAGCUGGUCAAAAUCCAAAAAAUUACCCAAAGGUGGCUGUUUAUUCAAAGUCAGCCUUCCGGCGUCCCUUUCGGGAAUAUUCGGCUAUUUUAGACAAAACAACAUCACCCAACUUAUUUAUGACUAUAUUUUUUGUUUCUUAAAAUAGAAGACCCGAUAUUGAAAACACAACCUUUCACCGCCUCGGGGGCGAAGAUUUUAAGGUUGUGUUAGCUAACCGGCCGAAAUCCUAAAAUCACUCAUGUCUAUGCAAAGUCGGCCUUCUAGCGUCCCUUUCGGGAAUAUUCAACUAUAUUUGACAAAACGACAUCACCGAACUCAUUUAUGACGAAAGUUAAAAUUUUGAUAUUUUUGGCCAUUUUCGCAAAAUGGGAGGUUGCACCCGAUGAGGAUAUCCUACGUAUCUCACACCCUGUGAGAAUCAAACCGGCGUAGUUCGCCUAGAUUGAACAAACUAUUUUAAAACAAAACUUUUUAAUUUUUAUUUCUGGCAUUUAAUAAAAAUAAAAAUAAAAACUACUGUAAAAACAAGAGUUUUUUUUCAUUUUCAAUUUCCAUGGCAAAACAAACUAUUUUUCCUUUUCUACAUUUUUUUAAAACAAGAGAAAAUAACAACUCUCUAUUUUUUAUUUUUUAUUUUCAACAAAUGGUAAACUACUUAUUUUCCCAAACUAAAAUAAAAACUCUUUCUUUUUCUUUUCAGCAAACAAUAAAACAACUGUCCAGACUAAAAUAAAAGACUCUUUUUCUUUUCUUUUUUUUCAACAAAAUAAUAACACAAUCUAUUUUUCCAAACUACAACAAAAACUUUUUUUCUUUUCUUUUUCUUUUUUUUUUUUGCUUUUUGAGUAAUAAAACAAAUGUUUUUUUCAUUUUCUCAAAAAUUUCGGCAAAAUUUCGACAGUAUUUGGGAAUUAAUUUUUCAAAACAGAUGAUUAACCCUCUACACUUCAAUUUUUCUCUUUUUUCAAUAUUUUCCAGUAUUUCCAAUUUUCAGAAGCCGGUCAGCAUGCAUGUCUAAAGCAAAUAAAUGCAUAAAACAAACGUGAUGCAACAUGAUGGUCUUUUUACUUCAGGUUGCUUGUCCUAGACAGACUCAACCCAUGUGUUGAGUCCCGUAAGUCAAAUGCACAUGAUGCAAAUAAACAUUCCUACUAGGGAUCCGGCAUGAAGCUGUGUUUUACUAGGUAAAAGAAAAACAUGAGUUUUGGUCUAGAGUUGGGGAACCCGAGCGAACAACUGGGGCUGAGAAGGGGCGACAUAAAAGGAGCACUAAAGUCUGCCCGACCUUGUCUCUUGCCCAACACUCACUCUAUUUGGAAUAAUUUUUCAAAAGGUGGGCUACGCGAUCGUAUGCACCAUUUUCAGAAGACUCAGAAGGGAAAAAGGUUUCGUAGAUGUUUAUAUACAGAUCAAAUAAUAUUAAAACGGAAUUAAGCAACAAUUUACACAUUAAAUCCAAAAAUGUAAUAAACAUCAGAUAAUAAAGAAAUCCAAAGACAACAAUUAUUCUAAGCUCGAAUUUCUAACCCUAGACCAGUGGUUCUGGGUUAUUUGUCCCCAGCAGAUUCGCCAGAGCUGUCGCACCUCCUUUUUCCGCCCCGCGAGGGUGGAAGGGAGUUUUUUCAAUAAAAGGAAAAUCGAAACGGGAUUAUUUAUAAAAGAAUUAGAGUCACCACUUGGGGAUAUGGUGUCCCAAGUCACCAGUUUAAUACCGAAUCGAUGAAAAGAAUGACUCUGCUUAACAGUUCGCGCACCAGAAAUUCGGAUAAAGAAUUCUGUUAACCCAAGAGAAGAUGUUAGGCAUUCCCGAGUUCCGUGGUUCUAGCACGGUCGGUCAACUGUCACAUUUAGCUUAUUUAUCUGAUUUUUAUCCAAUUAUGAACUUAUGCAAAUUUUACCUUUUGGCCGCUUUUAUCAUUAUUUAUUUUUUUAAAAAGAAUUGCAACGUCAUGAGAAUAUAUCGUGAACUGCUUCACAUAAAUGUAUUCGCAAUUUUCAAUAUGUUCUGACUUCGUUGGGAUUUGGAUUUGGGUCACAUAAAUGUGUACCCGAGUUUAGGGAGGAUAACAUUAUUAAAUACACCCCUAAAGAUACAAACGGGUUAUUAUUUUGGGAAAGCCGUGAAAUUCGCUAAACGGCAUGUCCCACACUCUAAGUAUUUUUUAUUAAACAUGUAUGAGGGCCCCGCAACUUAUAAUUUACUGUGGCGAGGCACGCCUCCUUUAUUUUAAGGAUAUCCUAAAGUGAGAACAUUUCUAUUUAAAUUCGUCUCUAAAAUAAAGAAAGAAAAAUAUUAGUUAAUUACGAGCUUAAAAAUAAAUAAAAACGCAACACACUAAUGGAUAGAUUAAGGCAAAUAUUAGUGGAAAGAAAAUACAAAUAAAUAAAAUAAAUUCGAAAUUAUAAAUAAAAAUAUAAAACAAUUCGAAAUUGUAAAUAAACUAAAAAUUCGACAACUAAUAUUUAAAAGCAAUUAAUUAUCACAUUGUUAUAUAAAAACUAUUGAAAUUGAUUAUUUGCAACUAGAUUUAACCAUAAUUAUUAAAGCUAAAAAAAUUAUUAAACUUAAAACUUAACUCAUAUUUCUCAAAUGCGCGCCCAUGGAUUAAUGUUCUUAGCAAGCUAUGUUGAAUCACACAUUACAUAUCAAGCCUCUUCAUUCUAUGAAAUUACUGGCUUAUUAUAUUUGCCUAAUAUUUGCGGAUCUUUAUUACUAACAAGAUUCAAAGAUUAACUAAUGCAUAGCGGAAAAAUAUAUAUAACUAAUGUUUAACUAAAAUACAAAUGUAUUAUAACUAAGUAUAUAAAUUUCUGCCAUUUUAUUUCAUCUUCAAGGCGUACAUCAAAGUGAUUCAAAGUGGUGUACCUGGUAUUGAAUACAAAGAAGAUGAAGAUCAGUAGGAAGCAAAAGCAGCACACACACAACAACAACAGUUGAGCAACACCGGAGUAACCCAGUCACAAACAGUGCAGGAAGACCCCACGAAUAGAUUUAAAAAAUCAAGCAGGCAAUCCAGCAACAACCAGUGAAGUAGUAACAGUAUUAGUUCUGAUAUUCAGCGGUAAAGAAAAGACCUCCCUUUUACUCUUAAGUUCUGAAUUUUUUUUUAUCUCUCCCAAAAUUCUUCUCUUCUCUUCACAGAUUUUCUUUAAGGUUUUUGUUCUUCAAAAUCUGAUCCCCUAAAAUUAUCCAAAUGACUCUUAUUUAUUUGAAAACAAGACCAUAUUUUCCUCUUCCUUUCCCCACCCUCUUUUCCUCUUUC
rnacentral:lncRNA from 1 species